rnacentral:rRNA from 1 species
UACGAAGGGUGCAAGCGUUAAUCGGAAUUACUGGGCGUAAAGGGUGCGUAGGCGGUUCGUUAAGUCUGUCGUGAAAUCCCCGGGCUCAACCUGGGAAUGGCGAUGGAUACUGGCGAGCUAGAGUGUGAUAGAGGAUGGUGGAAUUCCCGGUGUAGCGGUGAAAUGCGUAGAGAUCGGGAGGAACAUCAGUGGCGAAGGCGGCCAUCUGGAUCAACACUGACGCUGAGGCACGAAAGCGUGGGGAGCAAACGGG